rnacentral:tRNA from 1 species
UGCGGUAGUUCAGUUGGUUAGAAUACCGGCCUGUCACGCCGGGGGUCGCGGGUUCGAGUCCCGUCCGCAC